GCCAGCAUGGCGUAGUGGUUUGAGCAUUGGACCUCAACUCUGGAGACCAGGGUUCGAUUCCCAGCUUAGUCA